GGUAUUGAAAUAAGAUUUUAAAUGAGUGCUAAGAGAAUGAUUAAACAAUUAAAAACUUUCUUUAAUUAAAUAAUUAAAUUUAAUUUUUUUUGGUGCGAAAGCAAAAAUAGAAUUUAGGGACAAGAAGACCCUAUGAAUUUUUUAUUAUUAAUAUUUUGCAAUUAAAUUAUUAAUAAUUUAAUUGGGGUGAUAAAAAAAGAAUAAGUAUCUUUUUAAUUGUAAAAUAAGUUCCGUUUUUAGCGAUUAAAUGAAAAAAAUACUCUAGGGAUAACAGCGUAAUAAUUUUGGAUAGUUCAUAUAGAUAAAAUAGUUUGCGACCUCGAUGUUGGAUUAGGAUUCUUUUUUGGUGAAGAA
rnacentral:rRNA from 1 species